GUUUAAUUCGAUACAACGCGCAGAACCUUACCAGCCCUUGACAUAUGAACGAGAAACCCUAUCCUUAACGGGAUGGUACUGACUUUCAUACAGGUGCUGCAUGACUCUCGUCAGCUCGUGUCGUGAGAUGUUUGGUUAAGUCCUAUAACGAGCGAAACCCUCGCCUUGUGUUGCUCAGACAUGCGCCUAAGGAGAAAGGUUGUGCAAACCGAAGUAAGCCAAGUAGCCGAGUGAUGUGCCAGACCUAGGAAUUGAGUGACA
rnacentral:ncRNA from 2 species